rnacentral:rRNA from 1 species
AGUGAACGCUGGCGGUAGGCCUAACACAUGCAAGUCGAACGGCAGCACAGUAAGAGCUUGCUCUUACGGGUGGCGAGUGGCGGACGGGUGAGGAAUACAUCGGAAUCUACUUUUUCGUGGGGGAUAACGUAGGGAAACUUACGCUAAUACCGCAUACGACCUACGGGUGAAAGCAGGGGAUCUUCGGACCUUGCGCGAUUGAAUGAGCCGAUGUCGGAUUAGCUAGUUGGCGGGGUAAAGGCCCACCAAGGCGACGAUCCGUAGCUGGUCUGAGAGGAUGAUCAGCCACACUGGAACUGAGACACGGUCCAAACCCCCACGGGGGGCAGGAGUGGGGAAUAUUGGACAAUGGGCGCAAGCCUGAUCCAGCCAUACCGCGGGGGGGAAGAAGGCCUUCGGGUUGUAAAGCCCUUUUGUUGGGAAAAAAAAGAAGCAGGUUAAUACCCCGCUGUUCGGACGGUACCCAAAGAAUAAGCACCGGCUAACUUCGU